AUAGCCGGACAAUAUCAAAGUCGGUGAGUAUAGCCGGGCCAUGCUUCAGCAGCAAGAACCACACACCAGACAAUAUCAUAGUCGGUGAGUAUAGCCGGACAAUAUCAUAGUCAGUGAGUAUAGCCGGACAAUAUCAUAGUCAGUGAGUAUAGCCGGGUCAAGCUACAGCAGCAAGAACCACACGCCAGACAACAUCAAAGUCGGUGAGUUUAGCCGGGCCAUGCUACAGCAGCAAGAACCACACGCCAGACAACAUCAAAGUCGGUGAGUAUAGCCGGACAACAUCAAAGUCGGUGAGUAUAGCCGGGCCAUGCUACAGCAGCAAGAACCACACGCCAGACAACAUCAAAGUCGGUGAGUAUAGCCGGGCCAUGCUACAGCAGCAAGAACCACACGCCAGACAACAUCAAAGUCGGUGAGUAUAGCCGGGCCAUGCUACAGCAGCAAGAACCACACGCCAGACAACAUCAAAGUCGGUGAGUAUAGCCGGGCCAUGCUACAACAGCAAGAACCACACGCCAGACAACAUCAAAGUCGGUGAGUAUAGCCGGGUCAUGCUACAGCAGCAAGAACCCCACGCCAGACAACAUCAAAGUCGGUGAGUAUAGCCGGGUCAUGCUACAGCAGCAAGAACCACACGCCAGACAACAUCAAAGUCGGUGAGUAUAGCCGGGUCAUGCUACAGCAGCAAGAACCACACGCCAGACAACAUCAAAGUCGGUGAGUAUAGCCGGGCCAUGCUACAGCAGCAAGAACCACACGCCAGACAACAUCAAAGUCGGUGAGUAUAGCCGGGCCAUGCUACAGCAGCAAGAACCACACGCCAGACAACAUCAAAGUCGGUGAGUAUAGCCGGGCCAUGCUACAGCAGCAAGAACCACACGCCAGACAACAUCAAAGUCG